rnacentral:lncRNA from 1 species
AAAAAAGUAAUACUCACACAAAUAUUUAAAGACUUUGACAUAAGCACUUCUCGUCAAAUACACUUUUGAGAGGGAAAUUCCCAAAUAAUUAAGAACUCCUGCAUCAAAUUCAUUCAAAGGAAGACAUAUAUUGAUCAAGAAAAACAAACAUUCAUGAAGAGGGAUGAUGCACCCAUCAUACUUGCUACGCACCCUCUGGUAUCCUUUAAUGGAAAUCACUCCCUAGUCCGAUGAGGAUCCUACCUCGAUGAAAG